UCCCUGGGGGCCGGCGCGAGCCUGGUCGGGUGUGGGGUGGGUUCCCUGCGGGGAAGGUGGCGCUGCGGCGAGCGUGCAGUUGGCCUCCAGCCGGGCCGCGCCAUCUUGCCCGUGAGGUGGGGGACCCGGAAGGGGUCUAACACCCAGGGGUUUUGUUCUUAAUUUAUUUGAAAGAGUUAGCGGGAGGUGCACUGCUUGGAGCCCCCGAGCGCGGGUGCCGCGGGGCCUUGCCGCCGAGGCUCCCGUGAUGCCUAGCACUGGGCUCCGAUCCCCGUGAGGACACCGUGCGCCCCGGGACCUUUGACACCCGGGGGUCUGAGGAGCCUCGGCGGGAGUUGAGCCCGGGACCUGCAGUGCGCUCCCAUCUCGUGGGUGGGGAGCUGCUCUCCGGGGCCCCAGCGGGGAUGGCCAUGUGGGAGCCGGAGAGCAGAGGCCGCCGGGGAUGAUUUUGAUUUUAACUUUAUUUUUAAAUAUUUGUGAUGAAGAGGAGAGGCAGACAAAAAGACGUUCCAUCCGCUGGUUCGCUUCGCAGCCGGCCACCACGGCCGGGCCAAGGCCAGGAGCAACAUCCGGGGCUCCCGUAGGUGGCGGGGCCCAGCACUUGGGCCGUGGUCCACGGCCUAACCUGGGUCCGAAGCGGGGCCUCUGGGACUCCUGGGACAGCGACCCCGCACCACGGGCCGGAAGCUGCUCCCCAGGGCCCCUCCCCUCGCACAGCGGGGUCACUGCCCGCCGGGGACCCCCGAUGGCCGGCACCGGGCUCUGGCCAUCGCUGAACACGUGGUGGGCCCGGGGACCCUGGCUGCCCGCGCCCCACUGACCCCCCCCCCCCAUCUGCCACAGGGGUUCCCGCAGACGCCGCAGCCGGGCCGCCCGUGCCACCCCAGGUCUGCCCUCCCUGUGUCCUAGUUGAUUGCCCCGCGCGCUGGGGCAGGUGGCGCCCAACGUGGGCCUCGAGGAACGGGAAUUGAGCUGAACGUCGCUGGAAGAGCCAGCUGCUUCAUUGAGGUCGCCGCCCUGCCUCGUACCAGCCACCACCGUCUGUGCUACGGGCCCGAAGAAGGCGAGUGAAGACCUGCAUAGUGGCCACCGCGUCCUGACCCGCCCAGCGCAGGCCAAGAAGGUAAGACGAGCGAGGCAGUGAUGGAGCACACACUCACUAAACAAGAAUUGUUUGUAAGAGGGCUAAAAGCCUCACUCAGGACGGGAGGAGCAAGGGUUAAGAAAAAGGAUCCUAUAGAUUUUUUUAUAUUCUUAGAAGAUGUUUGUCCUUGGUUUCCGCAAGAAGGAGCCAUAGAUGAUGAGAGAUGGCAACGGGUAGGGGAAUGUCUUAAAGAUUGUUAUCACACCUUUGGUCCGGAAAAGGUUCCUGUUCAAGCCUUUUCUUACUGGAAUCUUAUAAAUAAUAUCCUCCAGGUUCGCCAUCUUCGAACUGACGCCUCAAAGGUCGUAGAGGAUGGCGAAUCCUUUCUUAGGACACAAUGUAAGGGGAGUCAGAGUUCUCUCUCUAAGCCGCCUAAUCCAUCCCCCUGUCCCUCUGUUUCCAUCUCCAUGCCGCCGAGGGAUACGGAAGGGGAUAUUAAAAAACCAGGAUCCAUCUUUCCCGUUGUAUCAGGGAUGAAAGCAAGUGACCCUGGCGAUGGUAUGCCAGCUCCUGAGGGUGAGGCACAGUUAACCGACGAGCUGCGCUGCCUGGCCGCCAAGCGUGGCCCUCCCUCCACAUUAUGCAAAUCCCCCUCCCUUUUUUGCCCCUGCACUUGCCGCAGCCUCCACAGAUGACUCUUUCGAUCUCACCCGCCGAGCUAUUUUUAAACUCACGAGAGAAGCUCAAGCCUUAAAAACCUUGCUUCAGGUUAAGAGGGAAAAGUCAGACUUGCUCAAACAACUCAGGGAGCUAGAUUUGGGAGUGAGCCGCUCACCUGAUGACUCAUCACAAACAAAAACAGUAGCUAGGUCUCGGGUGCGGUCUAAAAGCUCCUCCAGAGAGGAGGAGAGUCCUGAGAGCAGCGAGCGUGAAGACUCUUCAGAUGAGGAAGAUGGGAAUAACCCCUUGAUUCUUCAGAAGCCAAGUUACCGUCGGCUAAAGUGGAAGUGUGUAAAGGAGUUAAAGAGCGCGGUCUCUCUGUAUGGGCCCACUGCCCACUUUACCCUGUCCCUUCUGGAAUCCCUGAGUGAGGACUGGCUCACGAUUCACGACUGGGAAAUGCUUGCCAAAGCCUCGCUCAGCAGAGGCCAGUACCUUCUGUGGAAAGCAGACUACACCGAGAGAUGCCGAGACAUUGCCAACCGCAAUGCCUCUGCGGGCGGCCAGUCCAAUUUAAGGAAGCUGUUGGGACAGAGACCAUACAAUUCAAACGACAAGCAGGCGGCUUUCCAUCCUGGGUUACUUGCACAAAUUCAACUUGCGGCCCGCCAGGCAUGGAAUGUCCUCCCCUCCCAGGGCUCGGCUAUUUCCUCCAUUUCUACAAUCCGCCAGGGGGCUCAGGAACCAUUCGGUGAUUUUGUGAGACGGCUCAAUGAAGCUGCAGAACGGUUCAUAGGGCCUGCGGAAACGGAUAGUGAGCUUGUCAGAUAUCUAGCCUUCGAAAAUGCCAAUUCUGCCUGUCGGGCCGUACUGCACCCUCAUGGCCGCAACAAGACCCUUGCAGAUUAUAUCAGGCUUUGUGCAGAUGUCGACCCAGUUUCCCAUAAUAUAGGCUUGGCUGUCGGCACUGCUUUCAAAGAUUCCACUCAGAGACCAAAAACGGGGACGUGUUUUAACUGUAAACAGCCCGGCCACUUCCAAAAGGGGUGCUCAGCUCCUAAAAUGAAACGGCCGACCCCACCUUCCCUCUGCCCUCGGUGCAAGAGAGGAAAACAUUGGGCCUCUGAGUGCAGAUCAAAAACUGAUAACCAGGGAAAUCCAUUGCCUCGGAAGAAGGGAAACUUGACGAGGGGCCCACCCCAGGGCCCCAAGCCAACAAUGGGAUCGAACCCUGGGGCUGUCAGGUUUGUCCCCCAAUCUCCAACCCUCCAGGUGUAGCCUCCCUCAUGCGGGCAAUAACAGGAAGUGCGGAGUGGACCUCUGUGCCACCUCCCACUCAACAUUAACCCCUGACACCGGAACUCAAAUCCUUUCCACUGGAGUUUUUGACCCUUUACCCUCAAAAAUGUUUGGCUUAAUCCUAGGACGUGGGAGCUCCGCCAUUCAAGGUCUUCAUGUUUCUCCAGGCAUUAUUGGUAGUGAUUAUACUGGGGAAUUAAAAUAGUGGCUACUGCCUCCCAGGGACCUAGAACUACCCUCCUGGGACAGCUGAUAGCCCAGUUAGUAUUGCUACCUCUUCUUAAUAAUGACCCCAGCCACAGAAACCAAAGAGGCUCUCAAUUUUAGUUCUUCAGAUGCCUAUUGGGUACAACAAAUCACAGAAAAAAGGCCUUUACUAAAACUCAAACUGGAUGGAAAAACCUUUGAGGGUCUUGUCGAUGCGGGAGCAGAUGCUACUGUUAUUUCUAGUAAGGGCUGGCCCUCAGCUUGGCCCCUUGAUCCCUCCUUAACUCAUUUAAAAGGAGUAGGCCAAACUGCUAAUCCUCUCCAAAGUUCUGAGGUAAUUUCAUGGGGAGAUGAAGAGGGAAACAAAGGCACGGCACAACCCUGUGUGGUCACUGGCCUGCCUGUGAAUCUACGGGGCAGAUUCUUUCUCAGAUGAGACUUACUAUGUGCAGCCCAAAUGAAUGAAUACUCAGCAGAUGCUUAACCAAGGGUACCGCCCAGGCCAAGGACGCAUGGCUCUCGUUAGAAUUAAAGUCAAAACAGGUUGCACCAGUAUUGGCUAUGAAAAUCUUCCUUAGCGGCCAUUGACGUGCCUGUAUGCCAUGCAGAUCAAAUCUCUUGGACAAGAACAGAGCCCAUGUGGAUUGAUCAGUGGCCUCUUAACAUCUGAAAAACUGACCGCAGCCACAGCGUUAGUACAGGAACAGCUCGCUGUCGGUCACAUAGAACCAACCGCUUCUUGGAAUACCCCAAUUUUUGUUAUAGUCAUUGAUUUAAAGGAUUGGUUCUUCACCCAGAAGAUCGCCAAUAUUUUGCAUUCAGCCUACCAGUAAUAAAUGUUAAAGGUCCUAUGCCCAGAUUCCAAUGGAAGGUCUUGCCUCAAGGGAUGGCCAACAGCCCCACAUUAUGCCAAAAAUUCGUUGCCCAGAUUAUAGACCCAUUUAGAUUCAACAUAAUCCAUCACAUGGACGAUAUUUUACUUGCUAGCCCAGAUACUGACAGCCUUCUUUGUUUUUCUCAACAACUUACAAAAGCCUUAAUGGACGCAGGCCUUCAAAUAGCACCCGAUAAAAUCCAAUUAAAAACUCCAUAUUGUUUUUGGGCAAUCAACAAAUGACCUUCAUGGAUUAUAAGCAGCCUUGGCAGUUUGUUGUAUGUGCCACUAGUUCUUCACCCACUGGAGUUCUUUGGCAAAAAGGACCCCUUUACUGGGUGCAUUUACUUGCUGCACCUGCCGAGGUUUUGACACCCUACACUACAUGGGUGGCUAGAAUCAUCAGAUGGGAAGAGAACAUAGCAGAAAAAUGUUUGGUAAGGACCCAGAUAAAAUAGUUGUGCCGGAUACUAUCAAUGGCGAGGUUACCUCUGUAAAGUCUCCUAUUGUUCUGCCGAAUUGGUAGAAUUGUUCGCUGGUUUACAGGUUUUUGCUCAGUUUCCCUUCUUCCCCUUUUAACUUAUACACUGAUAGUGCCUAAAUUGCCCAAUCCAUACCAUUGCUCGAGACAGUGCCUUAUAUUAAACCAACUACCAAUGCCUCACCUGUUUUCCUUAACACAACACUAUAUUCAAGCUAGAAAUGCCCCCUUUUUUGUGGGUCACAUUCGUGCUCACUCCCUUCUCCCUGGCCCUUUAGCCGAAGGCAAUGAGAUUGUAGAUCAAGCCACUCAGUUAACAUUUUUGGCUGAAAUCAGUUCACUUGCUCAGGCCAAGGAAGCCCAUUCUCUACACCACAUUAAUGCCCAAACCCUUCGCCUUCUCUUUAAAAUUACUCGAGAACAAGUGUGACCAAUUGUCAGUGUCACAGUUGUGUUACUCUAAUACCUGUGCCCCAUUUGGGGGUCAGCCCGCGAGGACUGGUUCCAAACGAGUUAUGGCAGAUGGACAUCACUCGUGUUCCCACCUUCGGCAGUCUCACCUUCAUGUCACCAUCGACACUUCGGCGGAUUCCUUUUUGCCUCUGCUCACACUGGUGAAGCCUCUAAAAACGUUAUUGCCCAUGUGCUCAGCUGUAUAGCAGUCAUGGGAAGGCCUGAAGUCAUUAAAACGGAUAACGGCCCUGGAUAUACUGGCAACAUUUUUCAGUACUUCCGUAAACAACUCCAGAUUAAACAUAUCGCUGGAAUUCCAUGUAACCCUCAAGGACAAGGCUUAGUUGAGCGCGCCCAUCAGACACUUAAAACAUGCUUCCAAAACUUGACACAAACCUUUUAGCCUUCAAUAGGGGCACCAAAAAAAUGUUCUGCACCACGCCCUAUUUGUGUUGAAUUUUCUAACCCUAGACGACUGGUAAAUCUGCAGCUGAUCGUUUCUGGCAUCCACAGUCCACAGUAAUGUGGAAGGAUCCUCUCAUGUCGCAGUGGGAUGGUCCUGACCCCGUACUAAUAUGGGGGAGAGGGUCAAACACCUUCCUGACAGUGCUCUUACACUCUAAUGGGUUUUUCACUCCAUAAUUAUCUUAACCGACAGACCCAGGAAAAGCCCUUGUUCCUGAGGUUACUCUCCUCUUUUCAGGUACCAUGAAGGCUCCGCCGUUUUUCCUGAUAGCGUUUAAAUCCACCGCAGAGAAGAUGGAAAUCCAUCCUCCUCUCCAGUCUUGCGAUCAAUCGUGGUGCUCCCCUGAAACAUGAUACUAUCUGGAUGUGACUUGCAAAUAUUGCAGGAUCAGAUGAUGUCUGCCUCCAGCAGGAUGUGCACUGGGAACUAUCUUGGGAUCCUGUUUGCUACCCGUUUUGUCAUCCAGCCGAAGAGAUUAAAAAUCUUACCUUCUUCUCACAAUUCCCGAACAAGACUUUCUUGUGUGGACUCGUACAGUUGGGGAACUGCACCUUAUACAUUACCUAAGGACAUGAUUCAGUUAAUGACGCCUCGGGUAGCUGUGUUAAAAAAUGACACUUGUGCAGUGACAAAAAACUAUAUCACAAAAUGCAAGAAGUUAGGUAAUGGGCUACAGUGUACUAAGACUCGAGAGCUUACGGGACUGGACAUGUUCUGUUACCGGAAGGUUGGUUUUUCUCCUGCGGUAAUUUUACUUUUAAUUAUUUCUCUGCUAACAUUUCUGAUGGGACCCAUUGUUGCCUCAACAGCCUAACUAUUUCUUCCUUCUCCUGAGAUGUUGGAUUAUAAGAAUAUUACACUUAGACAACAUAGGGAACUCUUUUUAGACCAAUCCUGCAAUGAUGAAGCACAUUUAUUGUCAAAAAUAGAAGUAGAUGCUCUGACCUUUUCCUUGGUAGGGAUUCCUGGUCUAGCUGUAGGUGCUUAUAAAACUUGCAUGUGCCAUGGUAAAAAAUAUUCUUCAUUCUUCAACUGCCCUAUCCUUAAAUGAAGAACAACAAGUAUUACGACAAGGUAUUCUAGAUAAUCCUGCAGCCAUUGAUUAUCUUCUCUUGUUACAUCACAAAAAUCUGUGUUUUAACCUUAGUGAUAACUCCCAUGGUAUUUCUAUUGAAAUCCAGAAACUCACAGAUCUUGCUUCUCGCUUUGCUCAAGACAAAGGGUCCGAAAGCUUAUUCAAUUGGCUUACAUCUUGGCUGCCAAAAUUCUCCUGGCUUAAAGAGCUGUUUGUGGGGAUUGUAAUCUUCCUCGUGAGCCUCCUCACAGCCUGUCCUGUCGGCAGGUGUUUCGUGUGUUCUAACUAGGCCUUGGAAGUCCCCCAGAAGCUCAGACAGUGGGUAGUCAAUGACGGGUAAGAUGGGUUGCCGCACAUAUCAACCUAAGACAGGGAUUCAUCGACGACGAUGGAUUCUGAUGACGGGUAAGAAUGUGCAGGUGGAACCCACGACCUAAGACAGGCACCACCGUUGGCUUCAUUAUAAAAUAAACAGCACCGCUCACAAAAACGUAGCGGUAUAGCACUGAGGACAUGUAACCUCAUUUGCUAUAUACAAAGGGGGAGACAUUGGGAGCCACUGUGCUGGUUUCCCUGUCUAGGCCUCUGUUGAGAUUCACCUUCAGCUGUGGUGAGGAGGGAUCACUAGAAAGGUCAUUUGGACAGCUCACUGAUGUUGGCACUUGGCCGGCCAGCGGCCAGCUGCAGUGCUCUCCUGACCUCACGUGAUAAGCACAUCUGGGAGCCUCGAGGCCCCGUGGUAACUCCCUUUGUCAAAUGUUGAAGACUCCUGUGAACCGUUCCUUGGAGCUGUGUUGUAAGAUGAGCCCUGCUUGCCCUCACUGUCCUGGUACUAUGUGAGCCGCCGCCGCCGCCUCCAAUAAAGUAGACCUUGGUCAGAA